GAAGUCCUCUAUUUAUCCACAGGCCAGGCACGGUAGAGGCAGCCCCAGUGCGAGCUUCCGCCUUGCUACUCUGGUCAUGAGCUCCAGCAUGUCUUGGAGGAGCCAGCCUCCCUAGGGGGGUGUAAAGGUAAAUUUC
rnacentral:sRNA from 1 species